rnacentral:lncRNA from 1 species
AUUUAACAAAACAAUUUAAUACAGAUGUUCGGAAUUUUUAGAUUUGAAAUAUAAAAAAAAACUUUAAAAUUUCAAAAAAUUACUAUUAAAUGACUAUUUUUCAAAGUACUAUAUUGAAAUUAUGUAUUACCGAAAUGCUUAGAACAGUCUGUACAGCAGCAUUUGAGCGUAGUCCGCGGAUCCUUGGAAUUUCAAUUUUUUUUGUGAAAAUACAAAAGAAAUCAUUUCGUACAUACAGUAUAAUUUUCAAUCAAAAAUUAAUAAAUCAUAUAACUAUAUGGAAGAAAGAUUUUAUUUACAGAUUAGCUUAUUUAUAUAUACUAAGAAAUAAACUUGCGGACUUCCAGAAUUGAAUUAUUGUUUUUCCUUAAAAUGUCCGAAAAACGUUACGUUUGAGAGAAGUUGCAGUAC